rnacentral:rRNA from 1 species
AGUGAACGCUGGCGGUAGGCCUAACACAUGCAAGUCGAACGGCAGCACAGUAGCGCUUGCUCUCUGGGUGGCGAGUGGCGGACGGGUGAGGAAUACAUCGGAAUCUGCCCAGUCGUGGGGGAUAACGUAGGGAAACUUACGCUAAUACCGCAUACGACCUUCGGGUGAAAGAGGGGGAUCUCAAGACCUCUCGCGAUUGGAUGAGCCGAUGUCGGAUUAGCUAGUUGGCGGGGUAAUGGCCCACCAAGGCGACGAUCCGUAGCUGGUCUGAGAGGAUGAUCAGCCACACUGGAACUGAGACACGGUCCAGACUCCUACGGGAGGCAGCAGUGGGGAAUAUUGGACAAUGGGCGCAAGCCUGAUCCAGCCAUACCGCGUGGGUGAAGAAGGCCUUCGGGUUGUAAAGCCCUUUUGUUGGGAAAGAAAUCUUUCAGGCUAAUACCCUGGGAGGAUGACGGUACCCAAAGAAUAAGCACCGGCUAACUUCGUG